AACCUGAAGGGUUUGAUCCUGGCUCAGAGCGAACGCUGGCGGCGUGGCUAAAGCAUGCAAGUCGUGCGGACAGUACAUUUGGGUAACCGAGUGUCCUGUUAGCGGCGGACGGGUGAGUAACGCGUGGGUAACGUACCCUGGGCGCGAGGAUAGCCAGCCGAAAGGCUGGGUAAUACUCGAUGACAUCACCGGGUCGCAUGGCCUGGUGAUCAAAGGUGGCCUCUACACGUAAGCUAUCAGCCUGGGAUCGGCCCGCGUCGUAUCAGCUAGUUGGUAGGGUAAUGGCCUACCAAGGCGAAGACGCGUAGCUGGUCUGAGAGGACGACCAGUCACAUCGGGACUGAGACACUGCCCGGACCUCCACGGAGGGCUGCAGCAACGAAUAUUCCGCAAUGCGCGCAAGCGUGACGGAGCGACGCCGCGUGUAGGACGAAGCCCCUCGGGGUGUAAACUACUGUCAGGAGAAACCAAUCAAAGGGGUCAAAUAGCCCCCGGCGAUGAGGGAAUCCAGAGGAAGCCACGGCUAACUCUGUGCCAGCAGCCGCGGUAAGACAGAGGUGGCAAGCGUUGCUCGGAAUCACUGGGCUUAAAGGGUGUGUAGGCGGCCUUUCAAGCAUUCUGUGAAAUCCCCCGGCUCAACCGGGGAAUUGCAGGAUGUACUGUUGGGCUUGAGGCACGUAAGGGCCAGGGGAACUCUGGGUGGAGCGGUGAAAUGCGUAGAUAUCCAGGGGAAUGCCAGUGGCGAAGGCGCCUGGCUGGACGUGUCCUGACGCUGAGGCACGAAAGCGUGGGGAGCGAACGGGAUUAGAUACCCCGGUAGUCCACGCCCUAAACGAUGUGCACUAGCUUCAGGGAUCUCUGACGAUCUCUGGGGCGAAGGAAAACCGUUAAGUGCACCGCCUGGGGAGUACGGCCGCAAGGCUAAAACUCAAAGGAAUUGACGGGGGCUCACACAAGCGGUGGAGCAUGUGGCUUAAUUCGAAGCAACGCGAAGAACCUUACCUGGGUUUGACAUGCACGGAUGG
rnacentral:rRNA from 1 species